rnacentral:rRNA from 1 species
AGAAGCGACGCCUCUCCUCCCAGGCCUCCCGGACGACAUCUCCGUCUGGGAGAUCCUCGUCCGCCUGCCGCCCAAAUGCGUCCUCCGCUGCCGCGCCGUCUGCCCCGCGUGGCGCCGCGCCACCUCCGCCCGCGGCUUCCUCCUCGCCCACCACGCCCGCCAGCCCGCCAUCCCCCUCCUCUACGGCUACAACUACGCGUCCCUGGACCUCCUCCCCUUGGACUACCGGGCAGGGGUCGUCGCCGUCGACCAGCUCCGGUCCGUCGCUCGACUUGCACACGACUCCUACAGCCUUGAUGACUGCUUCAUGCUCGAGGCAUGCUGCGACGGCCUCCUCGCCCUUACUGCCCACUACCCGCCCAAGCUCUCCAUCUGCAACCCGGCAACUCGUCAGUACGCUCCCCUUCCGCAGCUUGAUGGCUUCAAGAUCCUGGGGAUGUACCCUCACCUCCCUACCGGCGAGUACCGACUACUGCUAUACCCGAUCCCCGUUGAAGCUCAAGGUGGCUUCUACAUCUCCACAUUGGGCUCAGGCCAGCCGCCGAGGCACAUAGGGUUUCCUGAGGCCAAGGAACUGAGGCGCUCCUCCGUGUCUGUCCUGUUCCGUGGUAGCCUGCAUUGGUGCAUACGCAAUCUGAUGAUGGCAUUUGACACCACCGCUGAGUCGUUCCGGCAGGUGCGCUCUCCGGCUGGUCCUGGCUACUCUAACCUGAUUGAGAUGGGUGACAUGCUUGGCAUCUCCAGUCUUAGUGACAAAGCAGCAAGCGUUAAUAUCUGGGUGAUGCAGGACUACGAAGCCGAGGUUUGGGCCUUCAAAUACCGGGUUGAGUUGCCGGUCGCAGAGAUCAGGGUGCAAUUUGGAAAGUCUGACAAUUAUUGGAAUGUGGUCGCCGUGCCUUGGGAUGGCGAUGUGCUCUUACUCGUCAAAUUUGAUGACUGUCUGCUUCAGGUUGACAUUCAUGGCAAGCUGGUUUCCAGUUUCCGUCGCAGAGACCUUGGUCCUACAAAUCUUCAGAUCAAGCAAACUCUUGUUCAACAUGCCUUCUUUCCGACACUAGAGGGCUAUGUUGUGAACUCUUCGCCUUUGGUCUGA